GGGGUGGUGCAGUAGGGAAUCUUCCGCAAUGGGCGAAAGCCUGACGGAGCAAUGCCGCGUGAGUGAUGAAGGUUUUCGGAUCGUAAAGCUCUGUUGCCAGGGAAGAACGCUUGGGAGAGUAACUGCUCUCAAGGUGACGGUACCUGAGAAGAAAGCCCCGGCUAACUACGUGCCAGCAGCCGCGGUAAUACGUAGGGGGCAAGCGUUGUCCGGAAUUAUUGGGCGUAAAGCGCGCGCAGGCGGUCAUUUAAGUCUGGUGUUUAAUCCCGGGGCUCAACCCCGGAUCGCACUGGAAACUGGGUGACUUGAGUGCAGAAGAGGAGAGUGGAAUUCCACGUGUAGCGGUGAAAUGCGUAGAUAUGUGGAGGAACACCAGUGGCGAAGGCGACUCUCUGGGCUGUAACUGACGCUGAGGCGCGAAAGCGUGGGGAGCAAACAGGAUUAGAUACCCCCUGGUAAUCA
rnacentral:rRNA from 1 species